AGAGUUUGAUCAUGGCUCAGAAUGAACGCUGGCGGCGUGCUUAACACAUGCAAGUCGGACGAGAAAGGCUGAUUUCGGUUGGCCGAGUAAAGUGGCGCACGGGUGAGUAACGCGUAGGCAACCUACCCUUGUAUUGGGGAUAACCCUGCGAAAGUGGGGCUAAUACCGGAUGAGACCCUAUUCUGGAGGGGAUAGGGUGAAAGUCGGCCGCUCGGAGAAGCUGACGUACGAGGAUGGGCCUGCGUCCUAUCAGCUGGUUGGUGGGGUAGCGGCCUACCAAGGCGACGACGGGUAGCUGGUCUGAGAGGAUGAUCAGCCACACUGGCACUGGAACACGGGCCAGACUCCUACGGGAGGCAGCAGUGAGGAAUUUUGCGCAAUGGCCGCAAGGCUGACGCAGCAACGCCGCGUGGGUGAUGAAGGCCUUCGGGUCGUAAAGCCCUGUCAGGUGGGAAGAAAGGCCUUAAGGAGAAAGACUUGAGGUUUGACGGUACCACCAGAGGAAGCACCGGCUAACUCCGUGCCAGCAGCCGCGGUAAUACGGAGGGUGCGAGCGUUAUUCGGAAUUACUGGGCGUAAAGCGCGUGUAGGCGGGGGACAAGUCUGAUGUGAAAGCCCUGGGCUUAACCUGGGAAGCGCAUUGGAAACUGUUUUUCUUGAGUACUGGAGAGGAAGGGGGAAUUCCCGGUGUAGAGGUGAAAUUCGUAGAGAUCGGGAGGAAUACCAGUGGCGCAUGCGCCCUUCUGGACGGUAACUGACGCUGAGACGCGAAAGCGUGGGGGAGCAAACAGGAUUAGAUACCCUGUAGUCCACGCUGUAACGAUGGUCACUAGGUGUAGCGGGUACUCAUUCCUGCUGUGCCGCAGCUAACGCGUUAAGUGAUCCGCCUGGGGAUUACGGUCGCAAGACUAAACUCAAAGGAAUUGACGG
rnacentral:rRNA from 1 species